rnacentral:rRNA from 1 species
GUGGGGAAUAUUGGACAAUGGGCGAAAGCCUGAUCCAGCCAUGCCGCGUGUGUGAAGAAGGUCUUCGGAUUGUAAAGCACUUUAAGUUGGGAGGAAGGGCAGUAAGUUAAUACCUUGCUGUUUUGACGUUACCGACAGAAUAAGCACCGGCUAACUUCGUGCCAGCAGCCGCGGUAAUACGAAGGGUGCAAGCGUUAAUCGGAAUUACUGGGCGUAAAGCGCGCGUAGGUGGUUUUGUAAGUUGGAGAUGAAAUCCCCGGGCUCAACCUGGGAACUGCCUCCAAAACUACUGAGCUAGAGUACGGUAGAGGGUAGUGGAAUUUCCUGUGUAGCGGUGAAAUGCGUAGAUAUAGGAAGGAACACCAGUGGCGAAGGCGACUACCUGGACUGAUACUGACACUGAGGUGCGAAAGCGUGGGGAGCAAACAGGAUUAGAAACCCCUGUAGUCC